rnacentral:ncRNA from 1 species
UAACACACGCGGUUCGCCGCCAGGCUAAUGGCCUGCUGGCAAGAAGGUGGAUUAAAUGCCACUCAGGUAAGCCGGAAGGGGACACAAUGAGAUGACCGCAGUCUCGUGCCCCUUCCGGUUUGGCUAG